rnacentral:ncRNA from 1 species
ACCGUGCCACGAUAGUAAUUCAACCUAGUACGAGAGGAACUGUUGAUUCACACAAUUGGUCACUUGGUUGAAAAGCCAGUGGCGUGAAGCUACCGUGUGCCGGAUUAUGACUGAACGCCUCUAAGUCUUCAGAAUCCAAGCUAGCAAGCGGCGGCUACGCCCGCCGCCUGCCCUGAUCCACGUUAGGGGCACUUGCGCCCCCAAGGGCACGUGCCAUUGGCUAAGCCAUUCCGGCCGACGAGCCCCGUCCGGCCGCCUCGAAGCUCCCUUCCCUACAGGCGGCGAGCUGAAUCCUUUGCAGACGACUUAAAUACACGACGUGGCAUUGUAAGUGGCAGAGUGGCCUUGCUGCCACGAUCCACUGAGAUCCAGCCCCACGUCGCACGGAUUU